GCGUUAGUGGUGUAACGGUAACAUUCAACCCUUCCAUGAUUCGAUUAUCGUGAGGUUGGGCCCUGGGUUCGACUCCCAGCUAACGCA
rnacentral:tRNA from 5 species